GCCUGGCUGGCUCAGUCAGUAGAGCAUGUGACUCUUGAUCUCAGGGUUGUGAGUUCAAGCCUCACAUUAGGUG
rnacentral:tRNA from 2 species